rnacentral:lncRNA from 1 species
AUAAAGCGAGUGCGAGAAAUAAAUAAAAUAAAAGCGAUGUGGGAAACAAAUAAAAUAAAAGCGAUGUGGGAAAUAAAUAAAAUAAAAACGAUGCGGGAAAUAAAUAAAUAAAGCGAAAAAUAAGAACCUGCUCCAAAUGGAGGCUUCGAUUCUGGUACAAAAAUAAACCUCUGACUCCUGAAGCUAAAGACGACAGCAACUCGAAGUGACCCAACUCAAUCUCACAAAGGUGCGAUAACC